rnacentral:rRNA from 1 species
CAGUAGCCACGGGAAUACAGAGGGUGCGAGCGUUAAUCGGAUUUACUCGGCGUAAAGCGUGCGUAGGCGGCUAAUUGAGUCGGAUGUGAAAUCCCCGAGCUUAACUUGGGAAUUGCAUUCGAUACUGGUUAGCUAGAGUGUGGGAGAGGAUGGUAGAAUUCCAGGUGUAGCGGUGAAAUGCGUAGAGAUCUGGAGGAAUACCGAUGGCGAAGGCAGCCAUCUGGCCUAACACUGACGCUGAGGUACGAAAGCAUGGGGAGCAAACAGGAUUAGAUACCCCAGUAGUCCCUGUCUCUUAUAC